ACGCACGCUGGCGGCGUGCUUAACACAUGCAAGUCGAACGAAGCUUGCUUACGGAUUCUUCGGAUGAAGUAUGAUAUGACUGAGUGGCGGACGGGUGAGUAACGCGUGAGUAACCUGCCCUUCAGAGGGGGAUAGCGUUUGGAAACGAACGGUAAUACCGCAUAAUGUAUUUUGACCGCAUGAUCGAAAUACCAAAGAUUUAUCGCUGAAGGAUGGACUCGCGUCUGAUUAGGUAGUUGGUGGGGGAACGGCCUGCCAAGCCGACGAUCAGUAGCCGGACUGAGAGGUUGAUCGGCCACAUUGGGACUGAGACACGGCCCAGACUCCUACGGGAGGCAGCAGUGGGGAAUAUUGCACAAUGGGCGCAAGCCUGAUGCAGCAACGCCGCGUGAAGGAAGACGGUUUUCGGAUUGUAAACUUCUGUUCUUAGUGAAGAAUAAUGACGGUAGCUAAGGAGCAAGCCACGGCUAACUACGUG
rnacentral:rRNA from 1 species